rnacentral:rRNA from 1 species
CCUACGGGAGGCAGCAGUAGGGAAUCUUCCGCAAUGGACGAAAGUCUGACGGAGCAACGCCGCGUGAGUGAUGAGGGCUUUCGGGUCGUAAAACUCUGUUGUUAGGGAAGAACAAGUCUAGUUGAAUAAGCUGGCACCUUGACGGUACCUAACCAGAAAGCCACGGCUAACUACGUGCCAGCAGCCGCGGUAAU